GUUCAGUGAGAGAACGUGGCAUUGGCAUCUGAUAGGCCAGGUUGGACCUCGUCUCCACUGUGUGAGCCCAGCAGUGACUCAUCCUCACCAGGCCGCCACUUCCACACUGAUACACAAGAUGCAUUAUAGGUCUGCUCAGAGACUGAGUGAGAUUUAACACGGCGUGGGUCUAGCACAGUGUCUGUUGUGUCUGCCCUGCUUCCCUUUUGCCUCUGUCUGAACCCAGUGAGGCCAGCUCCCUGGCUCCAUCCUCUGCCCUCCUCAAGCGGUCCCAACCAUCCUUGUCUUGCCUGAUUUUUGCCACACUUCCUUGCUCCUCUUCUCCAAAACCAUAUUCACCUGUCACUUCCCUUGCUCAAGAGCCUACCAUAGCUCCCUAUUACUGAUCACAUCUAAAUCAGCCUUCUCAGCCUGGCAUUUGAGGCCCUUUCACCUCACCUUCCAGCCCCAUUUUCUCUCCCUUGUCUCACCAGACGCCCCUUGCCCUAAGCUGACUUGGCCCUGGCUGACCUCCUGCUCCCCAAACUUUCCCCACAGCACUCAUCUCUUGUGGCCUCCCUCCACCCUCCUCCCUUGUCUUCCAAGCUGGACCCAGCUCAUCCAUCUCCAAGCUCCAACAAACAAGUUACAGACAAACCAAAUCUCAAGCAGCAGCCAAGAGGAAGCCUGUCCAUAAUGGGCCAUAAUACAGUUACCGGCGGGUCGGCUUUGGGAAGAAUCAGGUAGUCUGGCAGUGCUGCUUUGUAGGAUCCAGGCCCUGCCCAGAAGCUCAUAGUCCAAGAUGAUAAACUCCUCUGGCCUUUCCACACAGGAUGUGGCCCCCAGAUUGGCACACAGUGCCCUCUCCUCUGCUGUCGGAAUGCUUCAAGGCUCAGCUCCAUGCCGUUGCUACAGACAGUUUCCAAGAUGGCGCCUACCCGCGUUUGUUCUUCCUCCCAGAGCUCUCACAGAGCGUUGCUCAGACUCAUGUUGCAUUGGUUCAUGUUUUCCUCUCAUUGGCUGUUGACAGACCCACUUACCAUGGAUUCUGGGUCUGACAUGAGCACAGUGCAUUGCACGUGGUAGGCACCCCAAAGGUAAGAGAGAGUGAAGGAAGAGAGGAAGAAGAGCAGAGACAGGGUGGGAAAAGGAGGGAUGGGCUCUGUGUAUGGUCACG
rnacentral:lncRNA from 1 species